rnacentral:lncRNA from 10 species
AUUUUGUAUUCUGCUGGCCUAGGGGUCUUAGUUCCAGAGGCAGAAAUGCUUCAACCAGGAGACACAACAGUGUUUCCAUUGAAUUGUUCCUGGUCUUGAGGGCUUCAGCAGUGAAACUGCAAACCUUCCUGCUAGACAGAAAAGUUCUCCAAGUCCUCACUGGACCCAGAAGCGCAACCGGCUUCACCUCUCGCAGUCCAGGCGGGACUUUGCGGCACCUGUCCCAGGCACUCCUGCUUCCCAGAGGGAGGUCUUCCCAGCCAAUCAAGAGGAAGAGAGGAGAAGCUAGUAACAGAAGGAGACCCGCCAUCGUGGCCAACGACACCGCGAAGAGGGAAGGGCGGUCCAUGCACGAGACCCAGCGUCCAAUCAAGCCCAGCAGGCGCCGGCCAGCCGCGGUGAGUGCGGGGCCCGCCGAUCCCGUGCCCACCCGGAACCCGCGCAGCCUGCGAACGCCUCGCGCAGCCCCGGUUCCCGCCUUCGCCUCUCUUUUCAAACUUCCCCGCGAGCAGAGGGACCCGGCCCCGGCCUAGGGGCAGCCCCAGAGAGGGGCCCUCAUAGUGCAGUGGGGGGCUGAAGGGCUCCUCCAGCGAGGCCAGAGUGGACGCCGAGGCCGAGGAGGCGCUGAGAGCGAGGGAGGGCUGCUAGCACAUUUUCACCUCUCAGUAAGACAUCACCUGGUCUAGCGCGGUCUCCCUUCUCACCGCACCGCACCUUCCUCUUGCGCUCCAGACCACGUCCAGCUGCCUAUUCCAAUUUCAUUUUGCUGUUCAGGCGUUUGUUUAAAUUAUGGCAGGAGCACAUGACCUCGGGCAUGGGGGCGCCAAGCAUGCCAGAGUAUCUAGACACAAAGCAGGGCUGGCUGCAUCUCCAACCCCGCCCCACCGUCUGGACUGCUUUCUUUACAUGGAUCUACACACUGUGUGUACAUACGAAAUAAAAUAUACAGUUUUUUCUAGCGAUGCUGCAUUUUCACAAAUGGAAUCAUACAUAUUUCAUGCGUUGUCUGCAACUUGCUUUUUACAUAUAACACCAUGUCCCGGGAGCUUUCCACGUUGGCCCACUUAGCUCGAUCUCAUUUUCUUUGAUGGCUGCAGAGGCCUCUGCCCUGUGGGGCGAUGCUGCUGUGUAACAAGAUCUCCUCCGCCGGCGAAGAAUUAAGCCUGUUUUCCAGACAGUCCAUCUGCUCUUUCCGUGGAACAUGCCCUUCCCAGUGUACCUCACCGCCCGGAGAUACAUCCGUUUCUUUCUGGGAUCUCUAAUUUGAACCUUGUCUGCAAGACCAAUUUUCAUUGUUUUUUGGGUUUUUGUUUUUUGUUUUUUGUUUUUUUUUCCCCCCAGGAAACCAUGUUUACUAAGCAUGUUCUUUUCCAGGUGAAUUUCAGUCAGUGCGUCAAAUUCCGUAAAAGAUGCAAUUGCAGUUUAACUGGGAUUCCACGGUGCAUUUCGAUCACUUUGGGAGACCGUUGACAUCUUUACAAUGUUAAUUUUCUCGUUCAAGAUUUCUCUCCAUUUACUCAGAAAGUUUCUUUUGUGUCUGCCAAUAAAGUUUUAGUUUUCCUCUCACAGGUUUUGUGUGCAUUUUUGUUACUUCCAACCUCUGCCCCCUGGUAUUUUACAGUUUUUCUAGCUAUUGUAAAUGGGACAGCUUCUUUCAAAUGGUUAUUUCUUGUGUAUAAAGAUAUGGAUUUUUAU